GACGAACGCUGGCGGCGUGCUUAACACAUGCAAGUCGAGCGGUAAGGCCCUUUCGGGGGUACGACGAGUGGCGAACGGGUGAGUAACACGUGGGUGACCUGCCCUUAGCUCUGGGAUAAGCCUGGGAAACUGGGUCUAAUACCGGAUAUGACUCCAUGACGCAUGUUGUGGGGUGGAAAGCCUUGUGCGGCUAGGGAUGGGCCCGCGGCCUAUCAGCUUGUUGGUGGGGUGAUGGCCUACCAAGGCGACGACGGGUAGCCGGCCUGAGAGGGCGACCGGCCACACUGGGACUGAGACACGGCCCAGACUCCUACGGGAGGCAGCAGUGGGGAAUCUUGCGCAAUGGGCGAAAGCCUGACGCAGCGACGCCGCGUGAGGGAUGACGG
rnacentral:rRNA from 1 species